rnacentral:rRNA from 1 species
AUUGAACGCUGGCGGCAGGCCUAACACAUGCAAGUCGAGCGGAUGAAGGGAGCUUGCUCCUGGAUUCAGCGGCGGACGGGUGAGUAAUGCCUAGGAAUCUGCCUGGUAGUGGGGGAUAACGUCCGGAAACGGGCGCUAAUACCGCAUACGUCCUGAGGGAGAAAGUGGGGGAUCUUCGGACCUCACGCUAUCAGAUGAGCCUAGGUCGGAUUAGCUAGUUGGUGGGGUAAAGGCCUACCAAGGCGACGAUCCGUAACUGGUCUGAGAGGAUGAUCAGUCACAGUGGAACUGAGACACGGUCCAGACUCCUACGGGAGGCAGGAGGGGGGAAUAUUGGAAAGUGGGCGAAAGCCUGAUCCAGCCAUGCCGCGUGUGUGAAGAAGGUCUUCGGAUUGUAAAGCACUUUAAGUUGGAAGGAAGGGGAGUAAGUUAAUACCUUGCUGUUUUGACGUUACCAACAGAAUAAGCACCGGCUAACUUCGU